rnacentral:rRNA from 1 species
UAGGGAAUCUUCGGCAAUGGGGGGAACCCUGACCGAGCAACGCCGCGUGAGUGAAGAAGGUUUUCGGAUCGUAAAGCUCUGUUGUUAAGGAAGAACGAGUGUGAGAAUGGAAAGUUCAUGCUGUGACGGUACUUAACCAGAAAGGGACGGCUAACUACGUGCCAGCAGCCGCGGUAAUACGUAGGUCCCGAGCGUUGUCCGGAUUUAUUGGGCGUAAUGCGAGCGCAGGCGGUUAGAAAAGUCUGAAGUGAAAGGCAGUGGCUCAACCAUUGUAGGCUUUGGAAACUGUUUAACUUGAGUGCAGAAGGGGAGAGUGGAAUUCCAUGUGUGGCGGUGAAAUGCGUAGAUAUAUGGAGGAACACCGGUGGCGAAAGCGGCUCUCUGGUCUGUAACUGACGCUGAGGCUCGAAAGCGUGGGGAGCGAACAGG